CCUACGGGAGGCAGCAGUGAGGAAUAUUGGUCAAUGGAUGGAAAUCUGAACCAGCCAAGUAGCGUGCAGGAUGACGGCCCUAUGGGUUGUAAACUGCUUUUAUGUGAGAAUAAAGUUAGGUAUGUAUACUUAUUUGCAUGUAUCACAUGAAUAAGGACCGGCUAAUUCCGUGCCAGCAGCCGCGGUAAUACGGAAGGUCCAGGCGUUAUCCGGAUUUAUUGGGUUUAAAGGGUGCGUAGGCCGUUUGAUAAGCGUGCUGUGAAAUAUAGUGGCUCAACCUCUAUCGUGCAGCGCGAACUGUUGAACUUGAGUGCGUAGUAGGUAGGCGGAAUUCGUGGUGUAGCGGUGAAAUGCUUAGAUAUCACGAAGAACUCCGAUUGCGAAGGCAGCUUACCGUAACGUUACUGACGCUUAAGCACGAAGGUGCGGGUAUCGAACAGGAUUAGAUACCCGGGUAGUC
rnacentral:rRNA from 1 species